rnacentral:rRNA from 1 species
AACGAACGCUGGCGGCAGGCCUAACACAUGCAAGUCGAGCGCGCCCUUCGGGGUGAGCGGCGGACGGGUUAGUAACGCGUGGGAACGUGCCCUUUUCUUGGGAAUAGCCUUGGGAAACCGAGAGUAAUGCCCGAUACGCCCUUCGGGGGAAAGAUUUAUCGGAGAAGGAUCGGCCCGCGUUAGAUUAGGUAGUUGGUGGGGUAAUGGCCUACCAAGCCUACGAUCUAUAGCUGGUUUGAGAGGAUGAUCAGCAACACUGGGACUGAGACACGGCCCAGACUCCUACGGGAGGCAGCAGUGGGGAAUCUUGGACAAUGGGGGCAACCCUGAUCCAGCCAUGCCGCGUGAGUGAAGAAGGCCUUAGGGUCGUAAAGCUCUUUCGCCGGGGAAGACAAUGACGGUACCCGGAGAAGAAACCCCGGCUAACUCCGUGCCAGCCGCCGCCGUAAUAC